rnacentral:rRNA from 1 species
UACAGAGGUCCCAAGCGUUGUUCGGAUUCACUGGGCGUAAAGGGUGCGUAGGCGGUCGGGUAAGUCUGAUGUGAAAUCUCACAGCUUAACUGUGAAACUGCAUUGGAUACUAUCCGGCUCGAGGAAUGGAGGGGAGACUGGAAUACUUGGUGUAGCAGUGAAAUGCGUAGAUAUCAAGUGGAACACCAGUGGCGAAGGCGGUUCUCUGGGCCUGUACUGACGCUGAGGAGCGAAAGCGUGGGGAGCGAACAGG